UUUUAUGCAAAAAGAGUAUAUGCUUUAUCCUUCUACACAUCUGUUAAAUGUUAUCAGUAAUAAACAACAUAACCAUCUUCUGGCAUUUGCAUAUCAUCAUAACACGUUUGUUAUUAGCACAUCAUCUGUCUUUGGUAAAAACUGCAUUA